rnacentral:rRNA from 1 species
CCUACGGGAGGCAGCAGUAAGGAAUAUUGCGCAAUGGGCGAAAGCCUGACGCAGCCACGUCGCGUGAAGGAAGACACCCCUACGGGGCGUAAACUUCUUUUAUAUGGGAAGAAGAUCCUGGUCGCCAGGAUUUGACGGUACCAUACGAAUAAGCACCGGCUAACUCCGUGCCAGCAGCCGCGGU